UGGGGAAAAGGAACCAUGGUCACCAUCACUUCAGCAUCUCCUACAACUCCAUCUCCACCGGCGGUGUUUCCUCUGAGGCCCUGCACCUCCGGGACCGGAGACACGGUCACUAUUGGCUGCCUUGCCACCGAAUACUCGCCCGCCGCACUGACUUUCUCUUGGACCAAAGGCACGCAGGCAUUGCAGGACUUUGUUCAGUACCCCGCAGUGCAGAAAGACGACGGCAAAUACACUGGAGUUAGUCGGAUCCAAGUGAGUCGGCAGGACUGGGAAAAUCGCGUGGCAUUCAAAUGUCUCGCGACGCAUGCUGGCGGGAACACAGAAAAAGAUGUUCAGAUAAUUGGAGUGCAUUAUAAGUCGCCAAAUCUUACACUCUCCUCCUUUGAGGAUGACGAUAAGGCUACCUUCUCCUGCUUUGCCAAAGAAUAUUCACCACAAAAAUAUGAGUUCACAUGGCUGAAAAAUAAUGCUCCGGUCACCACUAAAGAGGACGAGAUCAUAGCGGUUUCUGAAGCAAAAACAAUCCCAGAGGGAAAGCUGUACAGCACAGCAAGUUUCCUCACUGUGCCAGCCACUGAGGCGGACAAUGCAAUCUUCACCUGUGUGUUCAAGUGGACAGGGGUAAACAACACUCCUUUAGUGAUGAAAAGAAAUUCUACAGUCACCAAAGAACAUUGCCCAGGCGGUGGUGGAGCAUGUCCUGAGGCCGAUGCGGAUAUAAAGAUCAUAGGCCCAACAGUCGAGGACAUGCUAUUAAAGAAACAAGGAACUCUUACAUGUGAAGCGAAUGUAAAGCAAGGAACAUUUGAGGAAAUGAUGUGGGAGAAGAGUGGAACUGAAGUAGCUGGCUCCGCACUUAAAAUCAAGAAUGGAAAGAAGGGCCUAUUCGCCAGUACAACUACAAUCACUUAUGAUGAAUGGGUGUCAGGGACCGAAUUCGUCUGCUCUGUUAAACUCUUGGACUGGGUGACACCAGAGAAGAGACGUUAUGAAAGGGCUGUGAACGGAGGACCGAUUGAGCGUCCUUCAGUGUUUAUGCUGCCUCCCGUAAAACAAACUAGAAAAGAUCAGGUGACCCUGACUUGCUAUGUGAAAGACUUCUACCCUAAGGAGGUUUUCGUGUCUUGGCUUGUCGAUGACGAGGAGGCAGGCUCCAAAUUUGAUUUCAAUACCACCGAGCCUAUCAAGACGGGCCACGGGCUGUACUCUGCCUAUGGCCAGUUAACCAUCGGAAUCGAUGAGUGGGAGCAGACUGAUGUGGUGUACAGCUGCGCUGUCUACCACCAGUCUGUGGCCAACACAACUAAAGCCAUCAUCAGGUCCAUUGGAUACAGAACAUUCCAAAACACCAACAUAGUCAACCUCGACCUGAACGUCCCUGAAACGUGCAAGGCCCAGUAGAUGUCCCUGUGUGUCGCUGCGUCUUCUGUCACUUGUUGUUUAAUGUGUGUUGCUCGUGAUAUGACAUUGUGUUUGUGUGAGUUUAAUGCAGAUUCAAAAUAAAAAAAAAAAACACUUUGCAA